rnacentral:sRNA from 2 species
ACCUUUAGCCAGGCUAUGCUACAGACCUUAAUAAGGUAGACAUAAUCCUGUGGAGUAAAUAUGAGCGAUAAAAUUAUUCACCUGACCGA